rnacentral:rRNA from 1 species
UACGUAGGCAGCAAGCGUUGUUCGGAGUUACUGGGCGUAAAGAGUGCGUAGGCGGUUUCGUAAGUUUGGUGUGAAAUCUCCCGGCUUAACUGGGAGGGUGCGCCGAAAACUGCGGGGCUGGAGUGUGGGAGAGGUAAGCGGAAUUCCUGGUGUAGCGGUGAAAUGCGUAGAUAUCAGGAGGAACACCGGCGGUGUAGACGGCUUACUGGACCAUGACUGACGCUGAGGCACGAAAGCGUGGGGAGCAAACAGG